rnacentral:lncRNA from 1 species
AUAACCCACUUUCUGAACUAGAAAAACACCUCAGCCCUGACCCUCUUAAUAAUCAACCUCUUUCUCAUGAAACCCACAAAUCUAGCUCACCUCCUAAACCAAAAUCACCUUUACCUCAACCUCAACCACAACAACUGUCAUCUGACAUUCCACCAUCUGAACCUCAACCAGAUAUUCCAACUGCUGAACAAACCUCUCCCACCAAACAAAUCUCUCCACAUAAAUCUCCUGAACCAUCUCCUGAACACAUUUAUCCUGAAUCAACCUCUGAUAUCUCAUCAUCUGAAUCAACUCCUGAACCCUAUCCUAACCCAAGUGCUGAACAUGCUUCUCCUGAGCUUAUUCAUACUUGUGCCCCCAAGCCUUCAGAGGCAGAAGUUGUCAUUAUUGACAACCCUGCUACUGAAAC